GGAGGAUGCUCCGGAGGAUCCUCAGCCGUUGGUAAAUGGGACGGUCUAGCCUUUGGAGCACUUCCUGGUUGCGAUACGACGUCAUCACGUCUACCCCAAGCCCGGCGAAAACAGCACCAGCGCCGAUAAACGACGCAAAAAAAUGGAUAUUGAAUUUAUUUAUUUUUUAUUUACUUGUUAUUGGUGGAGGAGAGUCGGUUUACACGGCUUCGGCGGCAGUAAAACCGGCGACGAAUUUUUCUCAGGCUGGAGGAGCGCAGUGGAGAGACACGGCCGAUGUACUGCUGCAUCAACUUAAAUGCACAACAUCUGCCUGGGAGCCGGUGACAUCAUGGCCCCAGACGAUGAAGUGCAGGACGACAUGCCAGAGGAUGAGGAGGGGGAGAACG